GUGGCUUUCGGAGCUAACGCGUUAAGUAGACCGCCUGGGGAGUACGGUCGCAAGAUUAAAACUCAAAUGAAUUGACGGGGGCCCGCACAAGCGGUGGAGCAUGUGGUUUAAUUCGAUGCAACGCGAAGAACCUUACNUACUCUUGACAUCCAGAGAACUUAGCAGAGAUGCUUUGGUGCCUUCGGGAACUCUGAGACAGGUGCUGCAUGGCUGUCGUCAGCUCGUGUUGUGAAAUGUUGGGUUAAGUCCCGCAACGAGCGCAACCCUUAUCCUUGUUUGCCAGCGAGUAAUGUCGGGAACUCCAGGGAGACUGCCGGUGAUAAACCGGAGGAAGGUGGGGACGACGUCAAGUCAUCAUGGCCCUUACGAGUAGGGCUACACACGUGCUACAAUGGCGCAUACAGAGGGCAGCAAGCUAGCGAUAGUGAGCGAAUCCCAAAAAGUGCGUCGUAGUCCGGAUUGGAGUCUGCAACUCGACUCCAUGAAGUCGGAAUCGCUAGUAAUCGUGAAUCAGAAUGUCACGGUGAAUACGUUCCCGGGCCUUGUACACACCGCCCGUCACACCAUGGGAGUGGGCUGCAAAAGAAGUGGGUAGUUUAACCUUUCGGGGAGGACGCUCAC
rnacentral:rRNA from 1 species